UAGUGAACUAUGCUCAUAAAUCCUGGUCUAAGUAUCAGUUGUCACAGCCUUGGAUCACAGCCGAAUCAAGACUUUGUUGGUUCUCAUGCUGAAGAAAAACCUGUAACACCCAGUUGUAACCCUCAUAGGGAGCCGACGCAGUCAUGGGAUAGUUAUCAGAGUGCUACCUAUCAUCUAUUAGAUCCAUCAAGAUUCGUCUUGUUCCCCAUUGUACUGUUGUUGGCAUGUCAUCCCAAGUACUCGGUUUUAAUUGUGAACCGGAUCUAGUGAUGGAGAUUACGAAAGCUUACCUGAUGAAGUCAUCGAUAGCAUUAUGAAUAGUUGUGUGUUGGUGGCAAACCACUUGGAGAUAUUUUUCAUGUGAUACAAUGGAAUGACCCGUAAGCAGACCUCGAAGUUGAAUCAUUCGUGUUUUUUUCCAUUAUUGUUUAAAAUGUGAAUGUAGCUUCUAUUAUUGAAACUGAGGAUGUUUGAUGUCAAGUUGUAAAUUAAAUUCGCGCUGAUUAUAAUAUAAUGGGUCCAUUUGUAAACCAAA